rnacentral:tRNA from 1 species
GUAGUAGAGGCUGAGCAGUAAAGCGCUUGGCUUCCGAACAAGGGGGCCCCGGGUUCGAAUCCUGUCGAAGACU